GUAGCUGUCACUCCGCUUCUUCAUCCCGAAGACGUACGCUAAGGCCGCAAAGAUCAUCACCAGGCCCAGGAUCACUAACACCCCCAUGCCUAUGCUCACGGCGAUGGGAUUCCGAUCUGUUCAGAAAAACAAGGAAUGGAGGAACUGAGAGCCAGGGUAGGGAGGUGAUCUGCCCCAAGGACACAUAGCCAGGAAGGGGCAGAACCCAGCUUAGAAGCGAGCCCUCAUAGAGGUGGCAGGCGCCCCAGCAGUGAGAUGGUGCCGCCAAACUCCUUCAGGAACUACAGUCAGCACCUCAGCACCAAGCUGCCAGAGCCCUGAGCUGUGUCAUCUGGGUUUUCUCUCGAUUUAUGUUGUGCAUCUGUUAACAAGCUGUGUCCUAAGGUGUGAGAAAAGCCUAAGAGAUGUCAUUUUUAGGUCUUAGAAUACUAAAACAUUUUUCCAUAUAAAUUAUUGGUAAUUGCCUCUUUGGCUUUGCAUCAUUUUGGCUUUGAAAGGUUUGGUAGGAACACUGUACUUGCAGAGUGAGAUGGAAACCUGUAAUAUACAAUUUUAGAAACUUUAACAAGGAGGCCUCCACUGCAACCUUGGGUACCAUUAGUCAGGGAUCAUGGUAUGCUGGAAAAUGCUGGUAGUGCUUGGGCUUGGGGGACUUGGUGGGGGGCAUACUGACAGGGAGCAUUUGCCAAUUUCUGUGGUGUAAAUACUUCCGCAAUGGCUGAUUUCAAGCCACCCAGCGUGACACAGAAUUACGUAGAGAUGAGCUCAGUCGGUUCUUGUGAGCCAGAAUCAACAGGCUCCUGAAGAGCACUGGACAGAGGCAUCUCAGACACAGAGACAGGGACGCACCUGCAGAUGUACCCAUUAUACAGAAAUACAGAAACAAACAUACUGACACAGACAUACACAUACACAGCUACACAGAUACCCAGACAGACACAGAUACACAGCUAUGGAUACUGACACACACAUGGGCAUAUGUUCACAAGUAUUCACACACAGACAUACAAACAUACACAGGCACACGGGUAAUAACACAAAUACAUAUGCUCAUGGACACAGGUACAUGUACACUACACUUAUCUGUGAAGGCUUCACAAGAUGUAUAUUCUAGUUUUCUGUGGUCUUUUAAAUGCAGAGAAAGUCUGAAAAGAUCCGUAGGAAACUGGUGACAGGGUACGGGGUCUUUGGAGGAAGACCUCUCCUGUUAAGUGGCAAGGACUUAGGGGUCACAGCUCCUCUGCUAAUGGCCUGUGAACCUUGACAAGAAGCUUUACCCCAGUGAGCUCUGGUUUUCCUGUCUGAAAUGAGGCUCACAAGUACACCUCCCCACCCUGGGGCUUUGGUAAGCAUUGAAUGGGCACCUAGUGUCAACAUGCAAACCAGCAACCACUGAAGCCAGUGCUAAGUAAAUGGAGAUUUGACAUUUACAUGUGUUUAUACUUUUUGAUUUUGGAACCAUGUGAGUUCCCUAGCAUAAAAAGAAAAGGAACAAAUAAAAAACAUUAAAUGUCAUUUAAAAAAUGCUUCUUGGGACCCAAAUAGGUUGAUUGCACAGCUGCUGCUCUGGCAUACGGUUGAGAUGCAUCUCCCUGUCUUUCUGACUCUGUCCACCUGCACGUGUGCACACACACAUCCAGGGCCAACCUCUGGGACAGAGCCCUGGUCCAUUCCUGCAGACUCAGGGCCACCUGCUGCCGCAUGCCACUGGUCACCUACCCUCUCCACUGCCCGAGGCUAGCCCCACCUCCAGGCACAUCU